rnacentral:piRNA from 1 species
UGUCUGAGAUGCCGUGCUGAUUGCUUUGG